CUUGGUGAUAUAUCAUUGACCUCCGGUACACACUAUUGUAACCAUCAUAAAAGGUCUGUGCUUGUACUUCUCCACAAUCCAGUGAACCCCAGAUCGGAUUUGUCAGAAAAGCCAGACGAGCCAGCAUGCUAAGAUGACUAACAUAUGGGUCUGGAAAUACACAUGACUGUACUACAACGUAAAUUCUCCAUCACCUCAAAAUAAACACCAUUUUGAAACGGGACACCCUCUGUAGUACAUCAGGCUAUGGGAUCUAGCACAUUGUCAGAUGUCAAAACCGACUCAUCAAAGUGUCAGACUGUGAUACAACCGUUUUGCGUGAUGCGAAUCCCCUGUGCAUACAAUUAACCCGCGGAUUCUCACCAUCGCUAGACAAAGGAUUGCCUUGAUUGAAAAUAAAUUGUUCCUCAAAAACAAUAAAAGUUUAAUAGCCCCAUCUGUAAUUGAUAGCAAGUUGAAAUCGUAGUCAAUACAAAUACAUUACUCACAGAUGGGAUAUCAAAAACGACUCCGCGGCCGUACAAGGAACACUGGUGUUAAAUAUAACCAGUUUAUUCUAAACAGCCCAGCUAUUAUGUAACUGUCUAAAAGCUUGCUGAAAUAUUCCUUUGUGAAUUAUGACCAACAAAUUUUCUUGAAAAAAAAUUUUGGGUAAUGAAAUAUUUUUACUAAUAUUCCUCAGUAAACAUUAAAAAAAAGUGUUUAGAAGUUUAUGUGAAUUUAGCUCGAGUGAGACAUCAGAUCUGUGCUUGCCUGCCAACAGCAUGGCCCCAUACACAUGUAUGCUACACGGCCAUAUUGGAUAGCCUCACAAUUCUACACUAAAAGCAGGUUAACAUAUGUUUAUCAUUCAAAGUUUUUUCCUUUUUUCAUUUCCUAAUCUCUCAUUUCGACAUAAAACAUUUUUAUACUUGAAUGCCUUGACUAUUAAACUUUCCUCAAGUAUUGAUUUU